rnacentral:rRNA from 1 species
UGRGGSGGSWUWMMMAUUGCAAGUCGAGCGGGCCCUUCGGGGUCAGCGGCGGACGGGUGAGUAACGCGUGGGAACGAGCCUUCUGGUUCGGAAUAACCCUGGGAAACUAGGGCUAAUACCGGAUACGCCCUUUUGGGGAAAGGUUUACUGCCGGAAGAUCGGCCCGCGUCUGAUUAGSUAGUUGGKGGGGCCCCCGGCCUACCAAGGCGACRAUCAGUAGCUGGUCUGAGAGGAUGAUCASCCACACUGGGACUGAGACACGGCCCARACUCCUACGGGAGGCAGCAGUGGGGAAUAUUGGACAAUGGGCGCAAGCCUGAUCCAKCCAUGCCGCGUGAGUGAUGAAGGCCUUAGGGUUGWAAAGMUCUUUUAUCCGGSACRAUAAUGACGGUACCGGAGGAAUAAGCUCCGGCUAACUUCSYGCCMGCAGCCGCCGUAUU